AGGACGAACGCUGGCGGCGUGCCUAAUACAUGCAAGUCGAACGGUCGUUUCUAUGGAAGGCUUGCUUCCACUGAGAAGAUAGUGGCGAACGGGUGAGUAACACGUGGGUAACCUGCCCAUAAGAGGGGGAGUAACAUCCGGAAACGGGUGCUAAUACCGCAUAGUUUUCUUGAUCGCAUGAUCGGGAAAGGAAAGACGGCCUUUGUGCUGUCGCUUAUGGAUGGACCCGCGGCGUAUUAGUUAGUUGGUGAGGUAACGGCUCACCAAGACGAUGAUACGUAGCCGACCUGAGAGGGUGAUCGGCCACAUUGGGACUGAGACACGGCCCAAACUCCUACGGGAGGCAGCAGUAGGGAAUCUUCCGCAAUGGACGAAAGUCUGACGGAGCAACGCCGCGUGAGUGAAGAAAAGGUUUUCGGAUCGUAAAACUCUGUUGUCAGAGAAGAACAAGUUGGAGAGUAACUGCUCCAGCCUUGACGGUAUCUGACCAGAAAGCCACGGCUAACUACGUGCCAGCCGCCGC
rnacentral:rRNA from 1 species